rnacentral:misc_RNA from 1 species
UCCGGUUUAACACCGGCAGUCUUCUUAGAGUCCCCAACUUAAUGCUGGUAACUAAGAACAGGGGUUGCGCUCGUUAUCGGACUUAACCGGACAUCUUACGACACGAGCUGACGACAGCCAUGCAGCACCUAUCACCAAGUCCCCGAAAGGAAGAUCCCAUCUCUGGGACUGUCUUGGGAUGUUAAGGGUAGGUAAGGUUCUGCGCGUUGCUUCGAAUUAAACCACAUACUCCACCGCUUGUGCGGGCCCCCGUCAAUUCCUUUGAGUUUUAGCCUUGCGACCGUACUCCCCAGGCGGGAUACUUAACGCGUUAGCUGUAGUACUCAGGAGGUUAACUUCCCGAACACCUAGUAUCCAUAGUUUACGGCGUGGACUAC